AGAAGAUCAAUGAAGAGCCUCACCACCUACUUAAUCAAAUAUGGAGAGGCACGGUUAGGACUUGUUAAAUGUUUAAGGGAUACUGGUACCACAGUAGCAGAACCUACUAGAAAUCUGCUCUCUACUGCUGGAGGAACUACAUAGGGAAGUGUCUUGCCAGAUGUACUCAACUGUAAAAAAACAGCCUAUGGGUGUUUCUGGGGACUCUGUUACAGAGUCCAGAACAUAUGUGCCCUGAAGGAGCAUAAAACCCAGACAGGCUCCUCAGGCUACAGACGUCUGUGCUGUGGAAGCAGGAACCAAACCCAAGUCCUGCGGUGGCGGCUUACUAAUACUUUGCUGACAGGACCUCCAACUGGGCCAGCUGGCAAAGGCUCAGAAUUCGUUUUCAUUGAGACAGAAUGAAUUGAGAGUCAGGCAGUUAAAAAUGACUGUAAAGGGUACUGGUGGUCACCUAAACUAAUUCUAAUGUUUUCUUCUUUGUAAUUAAAAUAAGUCAUAGCCAGGCAUGGUGAUUAUAUACAUUUUAAAAUCUUAAUCCCAACUAGAUUUCUAUACAAUUGAGACCAGCCUGAACUAAACAGCCUAGAUUGACCUUGACCCCCUACCCAUACUUCCCCAGUGCUGGUAUUGCAAGCAUGUACCACCACUGUAACUAGUUUAUGUGGUGCUGGGGAUGGAAGUGAGGGCUUUUUGCAUUGCUGUGCUAGCGCUCUACCAACUGAACUAUGUUCUCGCCCCAUUCCUUAACACUACAAUACCUUACUUAGUUGUGGAAUAGCAUGCACUUUAGGCAGGCAUGGUGAUCCACACCUGUAAUCAUAAUAUUUGUGAUGUAGAGACUAGAGGAUCAGGCUGGAUACAUUUCAUAGUUUCUUGAUUUUUAGAUAAUGGUAGCAUUUUAUUUAGUGUUGUAGUUGAGACAUCAUUACUUUGUGGGUGGAGCCUUUUAUAGUCUACUUAUGUGUUGUUUUAUUGUGGGAUUCACCUAUGACCUUGUACAUUCUACAACUGAGUUAUAUCUUUAGUUUUGAGACAGUUUCACUAGGUAGCCCAGGCUGGCCUAGAAUGUUCUAUUGUAGACCAACCUGACCUUAAGCUCUUGGUGACCUUCCUGCUUUUGCCUCCCACAUGCUAAGAUUAUUGGCAUUAGUCACCAUACCUUGCUUACCUUUUUUGAGGCAAGAUCUCAUGAGGCUAGCCUUGAACUUAUCCUUUCAAGUACAAGGAUUUCAGCUGUGUACCACCAUGCUCAGUUUUAUGUGCUGAUGGGACUUGAACUUGGGGCUUUAGGCAAGCACUCUAGCAACUGUAGAGAUAUAUCCCAGCCCUGGCUUGACUUUUUAAAAGUUUGUAUUUUAUUCAUAGGAGUCUUUUAUGUGCAUCUGUGUACCACUGGCUUGACUGGUGCCUGAGUAGUCUAGAAGAGGGUGUCAGAUCAUCUUAUAGAUGGCCAAGAGCUGCCAUAUGGUGGAUCUUCUUGAAGAACAGUCAGUGCUCUUAACUGCUGAGUCAUCUCUAUCUUCCCUUGGCCAAUAAAUUGUAAAAGAUAGAUGUUCAACACCAUAAGAAAAUGCAAAUCAAAACUGCUGAGAUUCUAUUUACUUAUUCAGAAUGACACUCUUUUUUUAAAGAUUUAUUUAUUAUAUGUAAGUACACUGUAGCUGUCUUCAGACACUCCACAAGAGGGCAUCAAAUCUUGUUACGGGUGGUUGUGAGCCACCAUGUGGUUGCUGGGAUUUGAACUCAGGACCUUUGGAAGAGCAGUCGGUGCUCUUACCCGCUGAGCCAUCUAACCAACCCCCAGAAUGGUACUCAUUAAGGAAGGAGUAACAAUGAAUACUGGCAAGGAUGUGGGGAAAAGGGAACCCUCCUUAUUGCUUGUGUGAAGGUAAGCUUGGGCAGCUACUAUAGAAGCCAAACUAUACCAUACCUGGCUAUUUACUCUAAGGACUUCCUAUCAACUCUUGGAGAGAUACUUCUACAUAGCUGUAGACUAUAUUCACCACAACUAAGUUAGGAAACCAGCCUAGUUGGCCAAGAGAGGAAUAGAUAGAGAAUCUGUGCUACAUGUAGAAAAGGCAUUUUUUAAAAUCAUGUUGUCUAUAGGAAACUGGAUACAACUGGAAAUAGUCAUUAAGGGAACUUACAAAACAAAUUUUUUUUUUUUGCUCAUAUUUUGUCUGUAAAUUUUGUGGAAAUAAACAGAACCAUUCAAUCGUAUGUUACAUGGCUGUAGAAGUAAAGCAAAGGAGAAGAAGCCAAGCUUUGGGGAGGUAUAGGUGAGAUUAUCCUGAACAUAAUGCAUACUUAAAGCAUCUCUUGAAACUUUGCUUUAUAGCAGACACGAGUGUUCGCGCGGAUUCCCAGGCCAUUCUGUGAGAAGGGAACCUUGUGACAGAAGCCUCAUGUUUCCUCCCGCCUAGGGACACAUUUGCUGAUAGCAUCUCACAGGGAAGUAGAGUCUGAGCACAGCACGUAAGUGUUGCUGGACCUGGGGCAGAGGUCAGAACUGGAGUUUCAGAGAGGAAGAAAAGCACAGGGUCCCCCAGCUGUCUCUUGGAGCCUUCCUUGUGGGUCAUUCAUUAACAACUAGCUUGAACAUUCACAGGGUGACAUUUUUCCAGGCCUAGAAACAAUUCUAGCUGCUGUGGAGUUGAACAAGAAGAGAAAUCCUAGAGGUCAUACAGUGUCGCAGCUCUUGAGACUCUGACCUAGCCAGAGUGGAGUCAGCUUAACACCCAGACAUUCAGUUGAAAAGCCACCACCCUUGAGAACCUGUCCCUGAGUAAGAGCUGUUCUCUGUACCGAGGCUUAACAAAGCCUAAAUUGUGCUCCACUGGGAGCAAGGAAAGUUACUGUGGCCCAAAACAAUGGUCUCCUUUUUUUAAAAGAACAAAACAAAC
rnacentral:lncRNA from 1 species